GUAGUCUCGCACAGAUGCAUAUCAAUAAGCGGAGGAAAAGAAACUAACAAGGAUUCCCCUAGUAACGGCGAGUGAAGCGGGAAGAGCUCAAAUUUGAAAUCUUAAAGGGUUUCCCUUUACGAAUUGUAGUUUAAAGAAGUGUUUUCUGUUGAGGUUUUGGUAAAAGUUCUUUGGAAUAGGACAUCAUAGAGGGUGAGAAUCCCGUAUUUGACCUUUACUUUCAACUUUGUGAUACACUUUCAAAGAGUCGGAUUGUUUGGGAAUGCAGUCCAAAAUGGGUGGUAAAUUUCAUCUAAAGCUAAAUAUUGGCGAGAGACCGAUAGCGAACAAGUACCGUGAGGGAAAGAUGAAAGAACUUUGAAAAGAGAGUUAAACAGUACGUGAAAUUGUCAAAAGGGAAGCGUUUGACACCAGUGUUGUUUUUCUGAAAAUCAAUUAAAGAACUGUUUAUGCUAAGCUGUUUAGACUUUAUCAGCUAACUGUUUAGUUUUGAGCUUUUCUUUAAUGCACUUUUCAGUUAACAAGUCAACAUCAAUUUCUUUUGCUGUAAAAAAGCUUGAGGAAGGUGGCUUGAGAUUCGUCUUAAGUGUUUAUAGCCUCUUGCCUAUGCAGUCGGAGAGAUUGAGGUCUGCAGCGUAGAUCCUUCGGGGCUAAAUGCAUUUGUGCUAAGUUAUAGCAUUUUAUAGACAACUUGUUGACUAUGAUUUGUCUUGUAGCUUACUCGCUUAUGUUAUUUUACCUACGCUUAGGAUGUUGAUAUCGCGCUCUCACUG
rnacentral:rRNA from 1 species